rnacentral:lncRNA from 1 species
CCAGUCUCUCAUGCUGUGAAGCAAACAUUUCACCACUGAGCUGCAAAUCCAGACCAAAUAUUUUGGAUUCUAAAAAAAAAAUUGUUAUCAUCAAAAUACUUGUCAUCUUUGACCACUGCUUCUUCCCCAUCUCUCAUGUCUAAUCAACUUUUUUUUUUUUAAUUGCAGAUUGACCUCGGGGGCACUUAACCACUGAGCCACAUCCCCAGGCCAUUUUUUUGUAUUUUGUUUAGAGACAGAGUCUCACUGAGGUGCUUAGGGCCUCAAUAAGUUGCUGAGGUUGGCUUUGAACCUGCAACCCUCCUACCUCAGCCUCCAAAGCCACUGGAAUUACAGGAGUAAACCACUGCACAUAGCUUCAACUUUUAAGUACUACAUCUCUCUAGAAUGUUUUUACCCUUCACCUCCUCUUCACUGCCUCUACCAUACUUCUAGUCUCUACUAAAAGUUACUUGGAUUUGGUUAUGAUUACAAAUUUCAUAAACAUUAUGGCAUAGCUUUACAUAUUAUGAUUAUAUUUAUAGCUUUGACUAUAAAAUGAUUGAUUGUAAAUCAUUCCCUUUCUCAAAACUAUGCAAUGACUCACUACUCUGUAAAAAACAAUCAAAUCCUACACUCUUAUAUUUAAAGUUUCUUCACCAAGCUCUCUUUGACUGAUUCCACAUUCCAACAAAUGAUUCAAAAGAAAUUAUUUAUAUAUAUGUAUAAAAUUAGAGAAUAAACAAAAAUAUAAAUUAAUAUUUAACCCACUUGAAUCAAAGUGUGAAAUAUGAUAUAUCAAGAACUAUGUAAUGUUUUGAACAACCAACAAUAAAAAAUUUAAAAUAAAUAAAUAAGAUAAAAGAGAGUGAGAGAGAAUUUUUUAAUAUUUAUGUUUUAUUUUUUCAGCGGGCACAACUUUGUAUGUGCUGCUGAGGAUCGAACCCGAGCCGCACGCAUGCCAGGCGAGCGCACUACCGCUUGAGCCAC